AUUGAACGCUGGCGGCAUGCCUUACACAUGCAAGUCGAACGGUAACGCGGGGCAACCUGGCGACGAGUGGCGAACGGGUGAGUAACGCAUCGGAACGUGCCCAGCAGUGGGGGAUAGCCCGGCGAAAGCCGGAUUAAUACCGCAUCCGACCUACGUGUGAAAGGGGGGGAUCGAAAGACCCCUCGCUAUUGCAGCGGCCGUUGUCAGAUUAGGUAGUUGGUGGGGUAAAGGCCCACCAAGCCUUCGAUCUGUAGCUGGUCUGAGAGGACGAGCAGCCACACUGGGACUGAGACACGGCCCAGGCUCCUACGGGAGGCAGCAGUGGGGAAUUUUGGACAAUGGGCGCAAGCCUGAUCCAGCCAUGCCGCGUGCGGGAAGAAGGCCUUCGGGUUGUAAACCGCUUUUGGCAGGGAAGAAACGCUCUGGGCUAAUACCCCGGGGUAAUGACGGUACCUGAAGAAUAAGCACCGGCUAACUACGUGCCAGCCGCCGCCGUAA
rnacentral:rRNA from 1 species